CGGGACGGGUGAGUAAUGUCUGGGAAACUGCCUGAUGGAGGGGGAUAACUGCUGGAAACGGUAGCUAAUACCGCAUAACGUCGCAAGACCAAAGAGGGGGACCUUCGGGCCUCUUGCCAUCGGAUGUGCCCAGAUGGGAUUAGCUAGUAGGUGGGGUAACGGCUCACCUAGGCGACGAUCCCUAGCUGGUCUGAGAGGAUGGCCAACCACACUGGAACUGAGACACGGUCCAG
rnacentral:rRNA from 1 species